rnacentral:tRNA from 1 species
GGCUUUGUAGCUUAGCUGGUAGAGCACUUGCCGUGUUGAGGUAUGCUGUUUCUGUCGCUGGUUCGAAUCCAGCCGAAGCCC